rnacentral:rRNA from 1 species
AGACGUCUACAUUAGUACCCGGGUAGUCCCAGUCGUAAACUAUGCGCGUUAGGUGUAUCGGUGACCACGAGUCACCGAGGUGCCGAAGGGAAACCGUGAAACGUGCCGCCUGGGAAGUACGGUCGCAAGGCUGAAACUUAAAGGAAUUGGCGGGGAGCACAACAACGGGUGGAGCCUGCGGUUUAAUUGGACUCAACGCCGGGAAGCUCACCGGAUAAGACAGCGGAAUGAUUGCCGGGCUGAAGACUCUGCAUGACUAGCUG